GCUUCCUUCCUCGUCAUUCGUUUGUGGCUUUCAAUUUUUCGCAUUGCAUUGAAUAAAACCCUAAAAAGGUUAUCUUCUUCUAUGAUACCUUGCGAUUCGGUCCUCAGAUCCGGGACGUAGUAAUGGAACGCAUCAUCGGCGGCAAGUACAAGCUCGGCCGGAAGAUCGGCAGCGGUUCCUUCGGCGAAAUCUAUCUCGCCACGCAUGUGGAGACUUUCGAGAUCGUCGCGGUGAAGAUUGAGAAUAGCAAGACGAAGCACCCCCAAUUGCUUUACGAGGCCAAAUUAUACGGGAUCCUUCAAGGAGGGAGCGGGAUACCCUGCUUUAAAUGGUCCGGCAUUGAUGGUGAGGAUAAUGCACUUGUUAUCGAUUUGCUCGGUCCCAGUAUGGAGGAUUUGUUUGUUUAUUGUGGCAGAAAGUUUUCGUUGAAGACGGUUUUAAUGCUGGCCGAUCAAAUGAUUACGAGGAUAGAGUAUGUGCACUCUAAGGGAUAUCUGCACAGAGACAUUAAACCUGAUAAUUUCCUUAUGGGCUUGGGUGCCAAAGCAAGUCAGGUUUACAUCAUUGAUUUUGGGCUCGCGAAAAGAUAUCGUGAUUCCACCACCAACCGUCAUAUCCCUUACAGGGAGAACAAAAAUUUAACUGGUACAGCACGCUAUGCUAGUUGCAACACUCAUCUCGGAAUAGAACAAAGUCGUCGAGAUGAUCUGGAAUCACUUGGCUAUGUGCUUCUCUAUUUUCUCAGAGGAAGCCUUCCAUGGCAGGGACUAAAAGCUGCCACAAAGAAGCAAAAGUACGACAAAAUUUGUGAGAAGAAGUUAGCAACCCCCAUUGAGUUUAUCUGCAGAUCCCAUUCUAAGGAGUUCGCAUCAUAUUUCCAUUACUGCCACUCUUUAAAAUUUGAGCAGCGACCAGAUUAUGGAUUCUUGAGGCGACUUUUCCGCGAGUUGUUUGCUCGUGAAGGGUAUGAGUUGGACUAUGUUUUCGAUUGGACCAUUUUGAAGUAUCAGCAAUCUCAGAAGAACAAAGCUCAGCCUCGGAUGUCGCCUCUUCAUGUAGGAAGCAGUAGUCAUGCAGUACCAACAAAUGUGGAUGCACAUCAAGUCGUAGGAAAUCCAAGUGCCGCUCAUUUGAAUGAUGUCACAGACCGUGUCAAAUUAGGCAGUACAGCUGGUCCUGGUGUCCGCAUGCAAUUCAAACCAUCUGCGGCCAAGAAUCGGACUUAUCAAUAUCCUCCUGAUAAGAAUGUCUUAAGCAGUGAUAAAGUGCAAUCCUCUCCUCUUUCGCUUGGCGCUGCCACGAAGAAAAGCACCUCUAAACCCCAACUGCCUGCUGAAGUUGCAAGCUCAGGUCAUGGACAUGGAAGUAGAGUUGGUCCUUCGAGUAGUUGGAUCUCCUCUCUUCAGCGUAUUUCAUCAGCCAAGCAGUGAACAGAAGUGUUGGGCAUUUGGUUCUGAAGAUCCUCUAGCAGCAUCUGCAGAGGCCUCUAGGCUUGAACAUACUCGAGGCAUAUGUAUUUUGAAGCUUAUCUGGAGAUGGCUACUGCCCAGGACUACGGGGAUGAUUGAGCUACUUGUUGAUUGGCAGCAUCCCGCCUUUUCAUCUGUUGAAGCUGCUAAGUUUAUCUGAAUUUGAUGCAUUGCAAUUAAUUCUCCUGUAGAAGCCAGCUGGAAUUUUUUUCCUUUGAAGGGUGACUGGAACGUGCCAAGGAGCUCGUUGUUACCCCUGAUGUUUUCUUAAGUCACGUUCUUCUGUAAAGCAAAUACUGUCAAAGUGGAGUUUCACUGGAGAAAUAGCAUGGACACUUAAUAUGCUCGUGUUUGUUCAUGAAGCUUCAUGUCCAAGUAAGCACAGCUUGUGAACUGUGUGGUCAGGCCAUUGAAGAUUUUUUAUGUUUACUACUUCAAUGGUAUGGCUGCAACGGGUCUUUGUCCAGAUCUGCUGGGAUGAUAAAGGAUCUUUUGUCUUUCCAUUGCUUUGUCGAUUGGAGAUUGUAUGUGGAAACUCCUAAAGACAAAAGCAGACCUUGAAUGGGAUAAUGCUGGGGGACAUGGCAUUUGCAUGGUGCAGUAUUAUAGUAUACAGGAAGUAUCUAUAAGGUACUUUCUUUAUGCACCUGAACCUAUAGGUUCUUGGGGACGCUCUCAAGACCGAUGUAGGUGAAGAAGCUGAUGCUGAAUUCCGUGUUGUCAGGGCUGUCCUUUGGGAAAAUAGACUCGAACGUGUCCUGCAUAGUUGGAUCAUUCAGGCGUUUGCUAAGCAAGCGGAUCCCCAGAUGCUCCAAUUGUUCCAGGAAGAGAUUUUUGAUGAAUAUACAUGAGGAGGAAGUUCCAUGGUAAAGCAUCAGUUCUGAGUAAAUGGGCAAAGAAUUUCGCCACGUUCAUCAACGUAUUGGUCUCGAGCCGAUGGACUGUCAGAUAUUGCAGGACGAAGCGCUUCUCGAAAUUCUCCUGAUAGACUCUGUUGAUCAUGCAGAAACGCUGCCCGAGUAGACCGUAGUAGCGGAGGAUGUGAGGAUCAGGCUUGAUAAUAUCAAGAGAAAUCUUGGGAUCAAUCGGAUCCUCCUGUGAUAUCUCAUGUGUCCACUGGUCUCCUAUCUCCACAAGAUCCAACUCCGGAUGAUCAGCUGGGUAUCCCUGAAACUUGGCCUUCCUUAUUGCAAACAGGCCUUCGAUCGAAAAGCUGUACUCUCUUGUCUAUUUCGCCUUCAUGUAGGAUUCCACGAAAUUGUUCAUAUCCACAAUCCUUAUUGCGAACAAUCAAGGCUUGUCAUUCCGCUUAUAUGCUCUUUUGAGCUGCAGAGCAAUCCUUUUCAACAGAAGCGCACUUUCCUCAGGAAAAAACUUAUUGUUUACGACAGCAACAAGCGCAGCAAAGACAUUGGUGAAUCCGGGAGAACGCCAUCUGAGACUUGAUACAAGACCGGCCAUCUGAGACUUGAUACAAGACCGGCAAAAGAGACCCCUCCCGCGGAUCAGAUUCUCGGCGAAAAGCUCCUGGAUGAUAUUCUUGAUAUUAGUUGCGGUCACUUUGUUGACGAGACCAUUUAUACUCCUGCGGAGCGCAUUCCAUGCCAAUCGCUGAUACUCGGUGCUAGUCUUGUCGUCUUGUACCUCUCUCAACAUGCGUGCCAAUUCGAAUGAAGGAGUAUAAACUCCUCCACAUCUGCCGGCCAAAGUUCGUGGAGCGACGAGCGAAUCAAUAAUAACAGAUGGAGGAUGCGGAGAGGGAUGGAGCCUUGGAGACAGGAUUAGCGUAGAAAUUGAUUGAGUUUUCAGAUCAAGGCUCAUAUAUAUACAUACAUACAUACAUAUAUAUAUGGAGGCGGUGGCCAUCGGGGCUGCUGUUAAGUGGGGCAGAUCCCCAGGACAGUGUAUGUAUACAUAUAUACAUACAUAUAUAUAUAUAUUUAUAUGGAGGCGGUGGCCAUCGGGGCUGCUGUUAAGUGGGGCAGAUCCCCGGGACAGUGAUGCAAUGGAAUGGUGAUCAGUGAAUGAUCAGAAGAAGAACAGGGGAAACAGAGGACGCCGAGCAAGAAAUAGAGCUGUUUGCAUUUGUCUUCCAACCACACUGUUCUUGAGCAUUCUCAUAUUUUAAAUAAUUAAAAAACAGACCCAAGUUUUUUUGUUUUACUGGUCAGAAAUGCCCCACCCUCUCCCUCUCUCUUCUCGAACGAACAGAUCAGUGUGUCCCCCAUUCCUAAGCCAGCCUCCGUCCCCUCUCUCUCUCUCUCGACUCCGGGAAGACAGCUGAGAGACAAUAAUGGUGGCCGACGAGCUAACAGUGAGGGUAGAGGACGGGAGGUGCCAACAGUGCUUCUUGGUCAGAGUCCAUGGUAUUCGAUCAUGCGAGGCUGAAGACGAGGCGACUUAGGGCUCCAAUCACUGUUAUGUUCCUCCGACAAGCUCCAUUCCAUCUAAUUCCCAUCACUCUUCUUCGUUUCUGGAAACCGACGGAUUUGGUUAUUGUUAACCUUCAAUUCAUUCACCUUCAUCGUUCAUGUCAUCGUCAUCACCGAUCCACCAUGGCCAUUGCCAUCUCCUUUUCCGUCUGGUUCAAUAGUCUUCUUCUCCUCCUUCUGUAUGUCUCUCUCUCUCCUCUCUCUGUCUUUCCCCGUCUCUCUCUGUCUCUCCCUUUCUGGUUCUGGGAUUGUUUGGGUUGGGGAAGGGAUGAGAAGAGCUUCAAUCUCGGAUUGGAAGUCUCUAUGCUUCAAUCUCCGCUUGGGACUGUUUCGAUGGUGGUCGGUUGCGCCGAGACUGUGUGAAAAGGAGAGUCGAGGAGAGAGCGUGCUAGAGAGGAAGAGAGAGAAAGGAGCAUGAUAGGCUAAACCGCGCUGAGGUGGCAACCUUCUAUUGGUCUGUGUUAAGGUAAACUUUUAAAAGCAGUAAAAGAAAUGUCAUGUCAGUGGAUUCCGUCUACUUUUAACUAGAGGCUGGCAGAAGGGCUACUUAGGUGUCUUUUCUGACUAUGUUCUAUCUGAUGUAAAUAAUAAUUUGAGGGCAUGUUUAAUGUAAAAUUUAUUUUUCGAAAUAUAUUUGACAGUUUUUUCUUUA